rnacentral:rRNA from 1 species
GGAAUUUUGGGCAAUGGGCGAAAGCCUGACCCAGCAACGCCGCGUGAGGGAUGAAGGCCUUCGGGUCGUAAACCUCUGUCGGGAGGGAAGAACGUUCCCGGGGUGAACAAUCCCGGUGGCUGACGGUACCUCUAGAGGAAGCGCCGGCUACCUCCGUGCCAGCAGCCGCGGUAAUACGGAGGGCGCACGCGGUGUUCGGAAUCAUUGGGCGUAAAGCGCGUGUAGGCGGCUUGGCAAGUCGAGUGUGAAAGCCCGGGGCUCAACCCCGGAAGGUCGCUCGAAACUGCCUCGCUCGAGUCCCGGAGAGGAAGGCGGAAUUCCCGGUGUAGAGGUGAAAUUCGUAGAUAUCGGGAGGAACACCAGCGGCGAAGGCGGCCUUCUGGACGGUGACUGACGCUGAGACGUGAAAGCGUGGGGAGCAAAC